rnacentral:tRNA from 1 species
GAGGCAGUAGCUCAGUGGUAGAGCCCCCGCCUCUCAUUCGGGGAGACCUGGGUUCGAUUCGCGGCUGCUUUC